rnacentral:tRNA from 1 species
GGGCCCGUGGUCUAGCCCGGCUAUGACGCCGCCCUCACACGGCGGAAGUCCCGGGUUCAAAUCCCGGCGGGCCCACCA